rnacentral:rRNA from 1 species
CCUACGGGGUGCAGCAGUGGGGAAUAUUGCGCAAUGGGCGAAAGCCUGACGCAGUGACGCCGCGUGAGGGAUGAAGGUCUUCGGAUCGUAAACCUCUGUCAGCAGGGAAGAACGGUCACUGUGCUAAUCAGCAGUGAAUUGACGGUACCUGCAAAGGAAGCACCGGCUAACUCCGUGCCAGCAGCCGCGGUAAUACGGAGGGUGCGAGCGUUAAUCGGAAUUACUGGGCGUAAAGCGCUCGUAGGCGGUAUGUCAAGUCAAGGGUGAAAUCCCCGGGCUCAACGUGGGAACUGCCUUUGAAACUGGCAAACUGGAGUGUGUGAGAGGAUAGUGGAAUUCCAGGUGUAGGAGUGAAAUCCGUAGAUAUCUGGAGGAACAUCAGUGGCGAAGGCGACUAGCUGGAACAUAACUGACGCUGAGGAGCGAAAGCGUGGGUAGCAAACAGGAUUAGAUACCCUUGUAGUC